GCAUCGGUCCAGGUCCGCGUCGGCGAAGACCAGGGCUGGGUUUUUGCCGCCGAGUUCCAGCGACAACUUCUUACAGUAGGGGGCGCUACGCUCCGUGAUGUGCCGGGCAGUGGCGGUAGACCCCGUGAAGGAGAUCAAGGGGACUUCCGGGUGGCCUACGAGGGCAUCGCCUGCACGGGAGCCGAGUCCGAAUACGAUGUUGACCACGCCCGAAGGAACACCUGAUAAACAACACAUCCUUGUCCAUUAUCUUCCUCCUGCAUCAGCUUGCACAUCAUCCAGGCAGUCACCGAGCUCAUCUCACUGGGUUUGGCGACCACCGUGUUGCCCGCAGCGAUGGCGGGUGCAAUUUUCCACGUCAGGAGUUUGUCCCUCUGCAGGAGCCUAUCCCAGUCGCACUAUUAUUUGAUAGAACUCGUAUUUACCCACUCCCACGGGGCAGCGCACGGUGUAGUUGAGGCAGCCCACGUGGUCCAUCUGGUGGCAGUCGGUGGUGUGGUGCAGCACGGACGAGGCGAAGAAGCGGAAGUUGUACGCGGAGCGUGGAAUGUCCACUGUGCGUGCAAACGUCACCGUUUUACCUGGAACACAACUUAUCACUCUCUUGAAAAUGACUGACAAAACAUUGGAAUUGAUCUCACUGGCCACAACAUUAGGUACACCUGCUUGCUAAAGGAUCGCUUUGCAUGUUGACAUCACGUUAGCGACCAAAAUGAGUCGUAAAAGCAGUAGAAUAGAAAAUUAUGUAAUAUUUUAAAGAUUAUAUUUAAUAUUUUUAAGCCCCCUUAAAUUAUUUGGUGUGAUUUUAUUUUUUUAUUUUUACAAAAAAAUGCAGAAAAAUACAAUAGAAAUAUGCAUGAAUGUGACUCAUGACAUCACACGUCUUGCAGUGUUUACUGAAGUAAACUCGCAAGUAAACAUGCUUCUAUUGGGUCUGACGAAGGCGCUUACCGCUCUCUUGAAAAUGACUGACGAAAACAUAAACUGAUCUCACUGGCCACAAUAUUAGGUACACCCGCUUGCUAAAGGAUCGUUUUACAUGUUGAAAUCACGUUAGCGACCAAAGUAGCCCCCUUAAAUACCAGAAAAAUACAAUAGAAAUAAGCAUGAAUGUGACUCAUGACGUCACACGUCCUGCAGUGUUGGAAGUAAACACGCAAGAAGACGAGCUUCUAUUGGGUCUGACAAAGGCGCUUACCGCUCUCUUGACAACGACAAAAAUAUUAUAAUUGAUCUCACUGGCCACAACAUUAGGUACACCCGCUUGCUAAAGAAUCGUUUUACAUUUUGACAUCAUGUUAGCGACCAAAGUGAGUAUUAUAAGCAGUAGAAGACACAAAUAUUAUGUAAUAUUUUAAAGAGUAUAUCUAAUAUUUUAUGCCCCCUUAAAUAAUUUGGUGUGAUUUUAAUUUUUUUUUUUUUUACAAAAAAUUGCAGAAAAAUAAAAUAGAAAUAUGCAGGAAUGUGACUCAUUACGUCACACCUCCUGCAGUGUUUACGGAAGUAAACUCUGAAGCAGACAUGCUUCUAUUGGGUCGGACAAAUGCACUUAUGGCUCUCUUGAAAAUGACAAAAACAUUAUGAUAUAUCUCACUAGCCACAACAUUAGGUACACCCUGCUUGCUCAAGAAUAGUUUUGCAUUUUGACAUCAUGUUAGCUACCAAGGUGAGCUGUGUAAGUAGUAGAAGACAAAUCUAUUGUGUAAUAUUUUAAAUAUUACAUUUAAUAUUUUGAAGCCCCCCUAAAUAAUUCGGUGUUGAUUUUUAUUGUUGUUGUUUUUUACAAAAAAAAUGCAGAAAAAUAAAAUAGAAAUAUGCAAGAA